GCUUGACUUCCUGCUGCCGUUCCAUCUGACAUCAACAGCAUGCUCACGUUACUCCAAGACUGAGUCAGGACGAGCUGUGUGUGGAAGCUAGGCUAACAAGCUGAGCAAACUUAGCGCCCUUGGAAGCGGAAGGAGACAGUACCUGGUGGUUGUUUGAGCAUACUGCAGCUAGACCUGAGUAGUCCCACUCCUUAAUGCUUCAGUCGCAUGCAAGACUCUCACAGGAAUGGUACCAAUUGCAAG